UUAACAGAUUAAGACGUCAAUCCAAAUUCUCUAUGCAGUAUUUGUAGUUGGGAGCAGGAGCUGAUUCUCUCCUGAGAUGAGCAGCACAGUGAUCAAUGCCAGAUAACUAAUAAAUUCAGGUCCACGAAACCCUAUAACUGAAAGGCAAUCGAAAGGGGAGGCUGGUCCUGGCAUGCAGUCACAGGGUUGCCUGAGAACAUAUGGGGUAAAAUGGUGUGAGGAAACAGCCCCCAGGCAGUCACAGAGCAGUGCUGAAACACUUGUACAGCACUUGUCUCAGAGAAGGCCUCACACUGUUCAGCGAUACCUUAACUGGACUGAUGUGUUGAAAGAAGAAAGCAAGCACCGGCUUUUCUCUGCUUUACAUCUGUUCUUGCUGCAAAGCAGUGUUUGCAGUGUGGGAACUGAUGAGGAGGGGGAACAUUCAGAGGGGAAGAUGGCCCAAAUGUUGUUUUGUCCACUUUCGUGCCAGAAAGGUGGUAUGCAGCUGCACAAGAAGUUAUACAUGGAAGUUAGGGAUUUGUCCAUAGCCCUAUGCUCCCCUUGUCACCGUGUCUGCUUCUGGGAGCUCUAUUUGCAAUAAAUCAGACUCUUAGUACUACAACUAAGGAGAAAAAAAAAAAAGUAGCCUAGUGGUUCUAUUGUUCACCUCCUGUGCAGGUCUGAUGUAUCACAAGUAGAUAUAGUAGAUAUAUAACUUUAACGUUUAUCUCUUAAAUAUUUUUAUUAAGUAUGCUUUACCGUUCUGUGAACUUAAAUAUUUCAUUUCUGUCUGUGAAACUGGACAGAAAAUAGAGAUGAGAGAAAUAUCUUGGCUGUUGUCUAUCUAAUCCUUAAUUUAGCUGACCUGCUGUGCCACUCUGGGUAAAUGAGACAUGGAACCACAAAGAAACAACGUAUAGGCAAUAUGCCCUUCAAGCCGAGAAAGAAUUAGUAUAAAAAGGGCAAAUUAUAGAAGCAGAUAAUGACUGUAAUAGUUCCCAAGCUUAAAAACAGAUGCAUGCUCUGUGCUUUACAAUUCUCAUAUAAAAGCAUUUACAGUCUUGCAGAGACAAAAUUGAAAGGCAAAACAAAGAAACCUUUAAUCAUAGCUGGAACAUAUUUUUAAAAUACCAGAAAGGUAGGGGCUGGGUGGUUGGAAAAUGAAGAGUGGGAAAAAAUGGACCACAGUUAACCCUUAUUUUUUAUAGGAUAACUCACUUGAAACCAAUGCUUGCUACAGAGAUAUGGUGAAGCCAAAAGAGAAAUAUCUUCAUUUUCUAAAAGUAGAAAAUGCCAGCACACAACAGCUGGCAUCUGGAGGUAAUCUUCAGUGUGAGGUCUGCGGUGAUACUGGGUCCAGAGCUCGUCCUCUUCCCUCAAUGUCACGGCUUUAAGUCAAAGUCUGGCCAGUACAGAAAGUCAACAUCUCAUGAAGAAAGGAACUACAAGGGGAUGGUCUUCAUGUGAGCUCUGAUGACUGGACAUUGGGGUGUGACUAGCUAUGUAUAAAAGGCAUCAUACUCAUUUAUUAUCUGACUGAUCACAUACAAUAUCUCCAAGAUGUCCUGAGUCAGCUUGCCUGGUAGAAAUGGGUCAUGAUAUUAAGUGACUAUCCUGAGAGAAGCCAUGGUGAGGAGUGCUUUCCCUACAUCAUUACCAAGAAGUUUGAAGGUUUAUUUUUGUGGACUGCCAUCAAUACCAAGUUCAGCCACUGGUUUCGUAACACCCAAAAUGGUGUUUGAAAAUAUGUUCCUCGCUUAAGACCUCAAGCAGCUGCAUUCCUGGAAAGUGUUAAAUGAUUAAGUGAUAUGUGAUAGAUCAGAAUGCCUUUAUAGUUUCAUCUUUAUAGCAAAACAACAGGUGAACUUUAGUUAAAGGAUUGAAUAAAAGAGGAAUACAGAGAAUA